GCAAGCGUUAAUCGGAAUUACUGGGCGUAAAGCGCACGCAGGCGGUUUGUUAAGUCAGAUGUGAAAUCCCCGGGCUCAACCUGGGAACUGCAUUUGAAACUGGCAAGCUAGAGUCUCGUAGAGGGGGGUAGAAUUCCAGGUGUAGCGGUGAAAUGCGUAGAGAUCUGGAGGAAUACCGGUGGCGAAGGCGGCCCCCUGGACGAAGACUGACGCUCAGGUGCGAAAGCGUGGGGAGCAAACAGGAUUAGAUACCCUGGUAGUCCACGCUGUAAACGAUGUCGAUUUGGAGGUUGUGCCCUUGAGGCGUGGCUUCCGGAGCUAACGCGUUAAAUCGACCGCCUGGGGAGUACGGCCGCAAGGUUAAAACUCAAAUGAAUUGACGGGGGCCCGCACAAGCGGUGGAGCAUGUGGUUUAAUUCGAUGCAACGCGAAGAACCUUACCUACUCUUGACAUCCAGAGAACUUUCCAGAGAUGGAUUGGUGCCUUCGGGAACUCUGAGACAGGUGCUGCAUGGCUGUCGUCAGCUCGUGUUGUGAAAUGUUGGGUUAAGUCCCGCAACGAGCGCAACCCUUAUCCUUUGUUGCCAGCGGUUCGGCCGGGAACUCAAAGGAGACUGCCAGUGAUAAACUGGAGGAAGGUGGGGAUGACGUCAAGUCAUCAUCGCCCUUACGAGUAGGGCUACACACGUGCUACAAUGGCAUAUACAAAGAGAAGCGACCUCGCGAGAGCAAGCGGACCUCAUAAAGUAUGUCGUAGUCCGGAUUGGAGUCUGCAACUCGACUCCAUGAAGUCAGAAUCGCUAGUAAUCGUAGAUCAGAAUGCUACGGUGAAUACGUUCCCGGGCCUUGUACACACCGCCCGUCACACCAUGGGAGUGGGUUGCAAAAGAAGUAGGUAGCUUAACCUUCGGGAGGGCGCUUACCACUUUGUGAUUCAUGACUGGGGUGAAGUCGUAAC
rnacentral:rRNA from 1 species